rnacentral:rRNA from 1 species
GUGGGGAAUCUUGCGCAAUGGGCGAAAGCCUGACGCAGCCAUGCCGCGUGAAUGAUGAAGGUCUUAGGAUUGUAAAAUUCUUUCACCGGGGACGAUAAUGACGGUACCCGGAGAAGAAGCCCCGGCUAACUUCGUGCCAGCAGCCGCGGUAAUACGAAGGGGGCUAGCGUUGCUCGGAAUUACUGGGCGUAAAGGGCGCGUAGGCGGACAGUUUAGUCAGAGGUGAAAGCCCAGGGCUCAACCUUGGAAGUGCCUUUGAUUCUGGCUGUCUUGAGUACGGGAGAGGUGAGUGGAACUCCGAGUGUAGAGGUGAAAUUCGUAGAUAUUCGGAAGAACACCAGUGGCGAAGGCGACUCACUGGCCCGUUACUGACGCUGAGGCGCGAAAGCGUGGGGAGCAAACAGGAUUAGAAACCCGUGUAGUCC